rnacentral:rRNA from 1 species
CGAACGCUGGCGGCAUGCCUAACACAUGCAAGUCGAACGAGACCUUCGGGUCUAGUGGCGCACGGGUGCGUAACGCGUGGGAACCUGCCUUUAGGUUCGGAAUAACUCAGAGACAUUUGAGCUAAUACCGGAUGAUGUCUUCGGACCAAAGAUUUAUCGCCUUUAGAUGGGCCCGCGUUGGAUUAGCUAGUUGGUGGGGUAAAGGCCUACCAAGGCGACGAUCCAUAGCUGGUCUGAGAGGAUGAUCAGCCACACUGGGACUGAGACACGGCCCAGACUCCUACGGGAGGCAGCAGUGGGGAAUAUUGGACAAUGGGCGAAAGCCUGAUCCAGCAAUGCCGCGUGAGUGAUGAAGGCCUUAGGGUUGUAAAGCUCUUUUACCCGAGAUGAUAAUGACAGUAUCGGGAGAAUAAGCUCCGGCUAACUCCGUG